GUGUCAGCAGCCGCUGUAAUACGAAGGGUGCAAGCGUUAAUCGUAAGUACUGGGCGUAACGCGCGCGUAGGUGGUUCGUUAAGUUGGAUGUGAAAGCCCCGGGCUCAACCUGGGAACUGCAUCCAAAACUGGCGAGCUAGAGUACGGUAGAGGGUGGUGGAAUUUCCUGUGUAGCGGUGAAAUGCGUAGAUGUAGGAAGGAACACCAGUGGCGAAGGCGACCACCUGGACUGAUACUGACACUGAGGUGCGAAAGCGUGGGGAGCAAACAGGAUUAGAAACCCCCGUAGUCC
rnacentral:rRNA from 1 species